UAAAGUACUCAGCAGCCACUUAGUGUGGUGUGGACACCAGGUUAUAUCAGCUGUGUUGGUGAACCCCUCCCACAUCUGAACUGGCUACAUAGAGAGCACAGCCUGAUCAGGGGUGAGAGAUAUGGUUUGAUGUGAGAGGGUGCCAACCCUCAGUCCCAUCAACGCCACCUCACCCACUUUUAAGAUAACCUUCAGGCCGACUAGAGACACUUAUGUAAUUGUGAUGAUCUGAGAGAAUAUUUGGGAGACGGAAUAAUGCAGGAGUCCAAAGGCGGCAAACCGGGAGAAGCAGGCUGAUAACUAUGAGGGUGUGCCUGAUCGCUGACCCUACCAUCCGGCAGCUGAACAGGAUAGGAAACUGUAAGGGAGGGCAGAACCUCGGAGACAGAGACUAUGGAGAUAGGCCUCCCUGUUGCCUCACCACAAGCUUCAAUGACACUAGAGUCUCUAGAGGAAAUGCGGGAGAUACGGCGUCGUCAAGACGAGGCCUACCAUCUCUCUCUGGCUGCAGACCAGGAGAAAGAGAUGAAAUGUCAUCGUUUUGAGGUGUGGGAGAGCAGGCGAAGGAAGUCAAUAGAGGAGAGAAGACAGAGGGGGGUCUCUCAUCCAGAGCUGCCUGAUGGAGUGCCCUUUAAGAUCAAAUACCCGGAUGGAAGGGAGCGGAUUAGGAGAUUCCGGCUCUCUGAAUCCAUUCAGAUGUUGUUUGAUUUUGUGGGGGAGGAUGAUGCCUCGUGAGGUUUUUACCCUCCAGGCAGUAGCGGGCUUCGCAACCCUGAAGAGCAAGAUUAAUGGGUAAUUGGAGGACCAUGACAUUCGGGAGUACACAACACUGUAUGUGUUGUGGUUGUCUGUGGAGGAUGUGCAGGCAAUCCUAUCGCCUCAUCUCUCACCUGUGCUCUCUCCUCACCUCUUGCCUGUGCUCUC